rnacentral:rRNA from 1 species
UACAGAGGUCUCAAGCGUUGUUCGGAUUCAUUGGGCGUAAAGGGUGUGUAGGUGGCGCGCUAAGUCGGGUGUGAAAUUUCGGAGCUUAACUCCGAAACUGCAUUCGAUACUGGCGUGCUUGAGGACUGGAGAGGAGACUGGAAUUCAUGGUGUAGCAGUGAAAUGCGUAGAGAUCAUGAGGAAGACCAGUGGCGAAGGCGGGUCUCUGGACAGUUCAUGACACUGAGACACGAAGGCCAGGGGAGAAAACGGG